UACGGAAGGCAGCAGUGGGGAAUAUUGCACAAUGGGCGCAAGCCUGAUGCAGCCAUGCCGCGUGUAUGAAGAAGGCCUUCGGGUUGUAAAGUACUUUCAGUCGUGAGGAAGGUGUUAAGGCUAAUAACCUUAGCAAUUGACGUUAGCGACAGAAGAAGCACCGGCUAACUCCGUGCCAGCAGCCGCGGUAAUACGGAGGGUGCGAGCGUUAAUCGGAAUUACUGGGCGUAAAGGGCACGCAGGCGGUUAAUAAGUUGGAUGUGAAAUCCCCGGGCUUAACCUGGGAAUGGCAUUCAAGACUGGUUAGCUAGAGUCUUGUAGAGGGGGUAGAAUUCCAUGUGUAGCGGUGAAAUGCGUAGAGAUGUGGAGGAAUACCGGUGGCGAAGGCGGCCCCUGGGACAAAGACUGACGCUCAUGUGCGAAAGCGUGGGGAGCAAACAGGGAUUAGAUACC
rnacentral:rRNA from 1 species